UCCCUGGUGGCUCAGUGGUAGAGAAUCCGCCUGCCAGUGCGGGAGCCACAGGUUUGAUCCCUGAUCUGGGAA
rnacentral:tRNA from 1 species